rnacentral:tRNA from 1 species
GGGAGUAUAGCUCAGUUGGUUAGAGCAGGUGACUCUUAAUCUCAAGGUCGAAGGUUCAAGUCCUUCUACUCCCAUCA